rfam:Schistosoma margrebowiei strain Zambia genome assembly, scaffold: SMRZ_contig0001307
AUCCAGUUGACGAGUCCCAAAAAAAACGAAACGCGCGUCCUGGAU